GGCGCCUCUAGCAGCUCCAGAGCCCAGGCUAGUCCCCCUCAGCUCCUCUUCUUGGAAGCGGCAGCUCCAGACGCAGGGAGUAGAGAGAAGCCAAUGGAAAAUGCAAUAGCGUCUAAUCAAGAAUCACAGUGAGGAAGCUAGAGUCAGAGGAAAGGCCAUGAACUCUACCAAGGCCCUUCUUUGUCUUCCUCCACAAAUCCAGAUAUGACUGUAUGUUAUGACAGCUGUUGCUAGCUUUGUGAACCCUGACAAAAGUGGAUCAUGCCUACAGGU